AUGCUAAUUCUCACAAGCCCUAAAUUCCUAUCCCUAUAUAUAUAUUGGCAGAAAGAAGAAAAACAGGGGAAGAUAGAGAGAAGACGAAAAAGAAAAGAACGGAGAAGGGAUUACGUGAAGAACACCGAAAAACAAAUAACCUUGUUGUUGGUUGAAGAUCUGAGAGAAGGACGAUUGAGGUUUCAUUAUCUGAAACCAUAA